CAAACGAAAUCAUACAAAUUAAAAAAAAAAAAAAACAACAACAACAAAAACAACAAAAAUUUCCACACAUUUAAAGUUUUGUAGCUAUGAAAACGACUCACGUGAGCGCUGCUACAGCGACGUCAGCGUCGCAGUCGCAGUCGCUGAGCAGCAGCCACACAAAUACAAAUAUUAGAAAUAAUAACAACAAAAAGAAGGCAGAAAAAAACUAUACCGCGUGUAUGGCAGAUAAAUCAGAGAAAAACCUAAAAACAUUGAAAUGAACAGCAAAUGCCGCUUGCCGCAGUGCCCAAAACACACACAGAUACUACUUAUACAGUUACAAAUGCACUCGCACACACACACAUACAGAUGGAAAGACAAACGUCAGCGCCGCCGUCGCAUUGACGUAAUAGCAAAACUAUAGUACGAGCAGAGUAAAUUAAAAUAACACAAAUAAAUAAAAUGCCAGGCAGAACGAGUGCCGGCUGCGAUCUCAAAGAGAGACAACACACACACAGACACACACAUACACAGCGAGCGAGCGAGAGACAGAGAGAAAGGUGGCGAGCAUUUGAGAGCGCCGCGCACACUAAAUAUCAAAUUGAACUUUGAGACAGUGGAAAAUGCCCAAAGCCCAAAGAGCAAAUGGAACCAAUUAGAAACAACAACAAGAACAUUCAAUCGGAGAGCUGCCGAAGUACGACUUGAGGGAGAGUCGAGGCAGCUAAGCUAAGCUUCGGCUUCGGUUGCCAGCCGCUUGGUCGGUCCGGUCGUCGUGUAUUGAGUUGCGCGCGCGACGAAACGACGAGAAAACAAAAAUGGUUGCCAAAAAUAAAAGUUCAAAAUGUGCACAGCACGCGGCGCCACUACACUGAGCGCUCGUGAGAGGUGAGAGCGUGAGAGAGCAUAGCCGACGACGCGUGUUGUUGCUGUUUUUGUAUUUGAGUGUGUGAGUGUGUGCUUGUGCUUGUGCUUGCCCUUAGCCGCUGGGCGCUCUCUCUCACACACAAUCACACAUUAACAGCAGCGCCGCUCUCUGGCUCUGCUACCAUUGCUGGCAGCGAGCGGAUUUUUGUACACUUUGCAACGAGCGCGUGUGCCCAGUCAGAGUCAGAUGAACAGCCAAAGCCGUGUGGACGCAAAUUAAAUACAAACAACAAAAAUUGGCAAAGAAUAUUCAAUGCAAAAAAAUAAAAACUAAAACUAUGUGCAAAAAUUAACCGUAUUCAUUAAUAAUUGAUUGCUCACGACAAUUCAAAACAUGUUUCUAAAUUAGUCAUGAAAUAAAGUAAAUUAAAUCAAGUUCCACUAACGAAGCACGUGUGUCCAAUAAGAACAUUUAGUAACAAAAGCAAAAGGCGAAAAAAAAGUUUUUUUUUGGCCUGACAACCAAAGCAAACGGCAACGGCAACAGCAGCAGCAACGACAACAGUGCUUGUCUCUGCGGGUGUGUGUGUGUGUAAGCUUUUCAUAUGUGUAUUUGUGCGGGCGCUCAUAGUGCAAAAAUCCACAACAACAACAAGCAGCAUUAGCAACAACAACAACAAGCAUUGGCAAGGCGAAUAAAACACACAACAAAAACGCAAAAAGGAAACACAACAGUCUCACACACAUAUAAAUACGGUAAAUCAGCUGACUCGUGCGCACUCUCUGCCCACUCUCUCACCACGCGCUCUCACUCUCGCUCUCCGGAGUGCAUCCUAGCUGCAGCGGAAGCUAUAGUCAAAGCGGCGCUCAUUUGUGUAGAGAUUUAACGGCUUCCGCAUCCUACGCGACCCAACGAACUUCGAAACCGCUAGCCAAGUGCACUUAUAUUUGUCGAAUUGCGUGCGUGUGUGUGAGUGUGUGACUGUGCGUCUCGCUCUUGUCACAUGCGCGCUCAGUCAGCAUAGGCAGCGGGCAGCGGCAGCGCUACAGCGGCAGAACGACAGCGACAGCGACAGCGGCUACGUCGACGACACCCACAACGCCCGAAGACCGCACAAAACGAACAGUCGUCGUCAGGCAGCGGCAGCAGCAGCGUCAGCAGCAGCAGCAAUAACCAAAAAGAAAAAAAAACAAAUACACGCCACGCGCUCUAACAACAACACCAAUAGAAGCAGCUACACCAAAUUAUUUGACCACAAGGACAAAACAAAACAGCUAGCGAAUCGCGAAAGAAACGCGCGCGUUUUCCAACGCCUUAAUCAAUUCGUGCAGAAAAAAAAAACAACAGCAUAUACAGCGUGUAUUUUUGCUAGUCUGUGUGUGCGUGCGUGUGCGUGUGUUAGUGUGUGUGCGUCGGUGAGCUGUCAACAUUUCUCAUCGAUUUUCGGCUCGUCGUGUGUGUGUCCUGUCGUGUGCCUGCGUGUGUGUGUGCGCGCGCGCGCGUGUGUUUGAGUGUAAGAGCCAAAGUGCUAAAGCUAGUGUGCGCGCGUGUGUGUGAGUGUAGGUAUACUACACCCACCGCCCACCAGCGACCGACCGCCACCAUCAGCUCGAUCAGACAAAGCUCAAACAGAAUACUUGCUGUCCUUGUCGCACGCCGGGCGCUGAUUUCCGUGAAGGCCCACAACCCUAACUGUUUAUUAAGUUUGUUAACUAUGCCAUACUAGUGCUUUAUAACUGUACAAUAAAUACCAACUACAUAAAACAACAGAAACACGAGAGAACACAUCUCUAGAAAA